CUGCAGCUCAAGUGGUCAGGAUGAUUAUUGGGCCUAAAGCAUCCGUAGCCGGCGCUGUAAGUUUUCGGUUAAAUCUGUACGCUCAACGUACAGGCUGCCGGGAAUACUGCAGCGCUAGGGAGUGGGAGAGGUAGACGGUACUCGGUAGGAAGGGGUAAAAUCCUUUGAUCUAUUGAUGACCACCUGUGGCGAAGGCGGUCUACCAGAACACGUCCGACGGUGAGGGAUGAAAGCUGGGGGAGCAAACCGGAUUAGAUACCCGAGUAGUCC
rnacentral:rRNA from 1 species